GCGGCGGGCUCGGAGGGUGAGGAAGCCAGGCCUGGCGAGGAGGAGGAUGAGGAGGUGUGGGAGGAUGGAGACAGCGGCCACCAAGGGCUGGGGAAGGCCCAGCUCCAGGCUCUGGAUGAAAUCCUUCCUUUCCCAAGGGAGGGGAAAGCCAGCAGGAUGUGAACCAGAGGUGCUGCUUCAGGAAAGCCCCUCCAGCCUGGGAAGGAGCUCCUGGCUCCAGACACGUUCCCAGUGCCCAGGAGCAGCAGGACCUGUGCUGUUCCCAGCAGAGAAAAGCUGCCAAGGAAGAAAGGAAGAGCUUUCCUUGGUGAAAACCUUCCCAGUCCCAUGCUGGGUUUGCACACACAGGAGGCUCCAUCCCUGCUGGAAUCCAGUUACAGCCCCCAGAUCAAUGUGCACUUUAAGGUCUCACAGCCUGACCAGGACAAUCUCCUGCCUCUGGACCUGGAAAAUCAGUUUUUCAUUGUUACAGCACCAGCUCCAGAAUCCUCUGAGGCUGAAACAAAGACAAGGAACCUUCUGAGAUGGAACGAGCCAGAGCAAGUUGUUGUGGGGAAGGAAGAUUAAAGAUGGAUAUGGGCUGUGACAUGAAUUGGCUCCAGCAGGGCCCAAGAUCACUUGGAAGGGGACCUUCACCCACACUCCCAAAAAGAUGAGAAGGAAGAACGCCUGCCUGCAGCUGGCUGCAGCUCCUGGAGCUCUGGGGUUUCUGGCACACUCAGGCACAUGGGAUAAUGCCAGAAUCAUUCAAACCUUGGGAGUAAUGUAAUUAAUACCACCCCUUGAGCUCCUGCCCAUCGGCCACUGGCUGCAGAUGGCUCUGGAAGUGAUGGAGGCAUCCAGGGAAUGUUGAUUGUUUUUCCCUCCCUUUGGCAAUCUGGUCAGCAAAAGUACUAAUUGAGCUCUUCCAGAGGGAAACAUUUAAGCAAGAGGUGCUGAAAAGAAUUGGAGUUUCUGAUUUUAAGUCUCCAACCUUAAAGUCCUCUUUGGAUUGUCACUGGUCCAAUUUUCAUGAACUGGUCACCAUGGCCAGGAGUGUCCAAUCCUGCUGGAAAUGCACUGGACCAGGAUGUCAUUUCAUUUGAUGCUGGUAAAGACCCUCUGGGUGACCCCCAGUCACUGGAAAGACUGGAUUGGGCUCCCAGGGCACUAAUUCCAGGUGUUCUGUUUUUGGGAAUAGCACAGGAGCCUUGCCCUUGCCCCAGAGGAGCAGCAAGUGCCUCAUAUCCCCAGUAUGGACCACAGAGAAAAUAACAGGAAUAUGGAAAUGCCCCACACUGGGAUUUUGUGGUGCUCUGAAUGACUUUUGGAUUUAUAAUGUUAAAGGGGGGCUGUGGAAUGGCUUCUCUCCUUUUUAUUGCUAUUGUUCUCACUGCUCUUGUUGCUCUCAC